rnacentral:rRNA from 1 species
GAUGAACGCUGGCGGCGUGCCUAAUACAUGCAAGUCGAGCGAACAGACGAGGAGCUUGCUCCUCUGACGUUAGCGGCGGACGGGUGAGUAACACGUGGAUAACCUACCUAUAAGACUGGGAUAACUUCGGGAAACCGGAGCUAAUACCGGAUAAUAUAUUGAACCGCAUGGUUCAAUAGUGAAAGACGGUUUUGCUGUCACUUAUAGAUGGAUCCGCGCCGCAUUGGCUAGUUGGUAAUGUAACGGCUUACCAAGGCAACGAUGCGUAGCCGAAGGGAGAGAGUGAAAGCCCACAUUAGAGUGGAGCCAGGCACAAAACUACUGAGGGAGGCACCAGAGGGGAACGUGAGGCAAAGGGGGAAAGUAUGACGGAACACCCCCGCGUGAGAGACAGCGGUUCCGGGAUCGAAAAACCUUGUUACGGGGGAAAAACAACUGUGUACGUAAAUAAGCCGGUAGUGACGGUAACUAAUAAGAAAGCAACGGCUAACUACGUG